ensembl:lncRNA
AUGGAGAGGCAUUCACUGGGUUUGGGAGUGGAAAAGAGAAUUCAGCUGAAAAGUAUCAAGUAACGAGAUUCAAACUCCUUGCCUUGGUGCCAAGAGAGCCUCAUCUCCAGCUCUCACAAGCUUCACCCUUGAGGCCGACAAGCUCAUAGCUUCCAAGGGAACAUAGUUGUCAAAGGAUGUCAUCAAUACAAGGAUAGAAGUCCUCUCAGGGAAAUCUUGAACCAUACUCACCAGUGAUCCUGAAGAUUAUUAAUGGGAACCAAUAUAUUUAUGAUUUCAUAAUAAAUUUAUUAAAUAUAUUAAUACAUAAAUUUUCCAGUUUCCUUCAGCUAAAAUCUGAAAAUGAGUUUAUAGAAUUGAAAAUGGAAGAAAAAAAUGUACCAGCUGACACUGACUAUGCCUAACUCAUUGGGGCAUUAUUAUUUAGUUUCUAUUUUUACCUCUGUGCAGGCACUACUUUUUAGCAUUUCGCUAAUUAAUGAUUUCUCUAUGGACAAAGUAGAAAAACUUAGAUAUGACUUUUUUUUUACAUUUGAUACCUGUGGAACUGGCAAGCCAGUCCUGCCAAAUGGAACUUAGUUAUUACCUUUGUCCUGCCACUCUGCUGGAGUUACCAGAAGUAAACAUGAGACAGAUUCUCAGCAGCUGUGGCCUACAUCUCUGUGUAUUGACUUAAACUGAAGUUGAAGGUGGCUUAGAUUAGUAUAUCAGACUCCUAAGUGCCAGCAAAAUAGCUCAGCACCAAUUCCCUCCUGUUGCCUCUCCUACAGGGCAAUAAUACCAGCAGAGGGAAAUGACAGAAUCAUGUAUGUACAAUACAUCAGGCCUUAUCUGCUGAUUUUCCUGAGUCACAUGUAGAAGCAAAAUCAAACCAGAGUAUACAAAACCAGGUACUUUUCACAUGAGUGGUGAAAGAAGUUAAAUUUUUAGCUCAGAAAUAGCUGAUUAGUUCUCUGUUGUCUCCCUAAAGAAAUGAGUUUCCAUGAGCCAACGAGAUAAAUCCUUAUUGCUUCCAACAAAUGAAAUAAUGUAUGUUAUUUAAAAUAUUGCCAGUAUCUGUCUUAUAUUUUGACAUAUUAACUAUUAGAGACAUUCUAGACUUACUUGCUCAUAUGUACUCCAAAAUCUGAGCCUUCAGUUGCUUCUACCAAGAAGUCUGACAGACUCACUUUUAUUGUUGCAUACUUUAGUGGAUAUCUUUAAUUUCUAUUUCAGGUUUCAUUUCAUCUGGUCUAAUAAAUAAAUAUAAUUUAUACAUUUUAUUUCAUAAUAUUGAUAUCCUAGCUCUAUUUAUGGUAAAUCUCACAGGCCUGGUCACUAAAGUGAGUAACUGUCCAACAUUUGCUACAAUUCUUCAUCAUCCUCCUAAUUGAAAUGGAAAUUAAAAACUGUUAUUCUAUCACAUCCUUGUAGAACAGAAGUCAAUUACUCUUGAGGAAAUGUAUUUCCAAUUUGUGCAACUAUCAUUUAUUUUACCACUUUACUGCAUGUGUUUAUUUCUUCCUGCUCUUCGGUCCUACAAUAAAGCUACAUUUCCAC